CGGUUUUGAACAACCUUUGCCUUUCCUUGUACCCCACAGUGGGAACCUGUGUCUCUAAGCAAAGUCCAACCAUCUGUGUCUCCCUAACAUGUUCCUCUUCAAGAUCGUAAGAAACCCAUCUCGCAUCAAAGAUCUCAGCUUGCUUAUUUCCACUCUCUUCAUCUUCUACCUUCUCGUCCACCGCCACCACACCCCAUCCAAUCUCCUCAUAGUCCCCACUACACAACCAUCAUCAACCACCACCACCACCACCACCACCACCACCGUCCGUCACCUCUUCUUUUCCAUUGCUUCCUCUUCCAAAUCCUUCCCCAACCGCAUACCCUACCUCCGCCUCUGGUACAACCCCGACUCUACCCGCGCUGUCCUCUUCCUGGAUCAACCCCCACCCGAUUCCUCCCCAUCCCUCUCCCUCCCUCCAAUUCUCAUCUCCGCCGACACUUCCAAGUUCCCCUACACCUUCCGCGGCGGCUCUCGGUCCGCGAUUCGCAUUGCUCGCAUCGUUAAAGAAGCCGUCGAUCGCAACGAGUCCGACGUUCGGUGGUUCGUAUUCGGCGACGAUGACACGGUGUUUUUCGUGGAUAAUUUGGUCAAAACACUGUCCAAGUACGAUCAUGACCAUUGGUAUUAUGUGGGGAGUAAUUCCGAGAUUUACGAGCAGAACGAGAAGUACUCGUUCGAUAUGGCGUUUGGUGGUGGAGGGUUUGCCAUAAGCCAUUCGCUUGCUAAGGCUUUAGGUAGGGUUUUGGAUUCGUGUCUGAUGAGGUACCCACACUUGUAUGGGAGCGAUGCUAGGGUUUACUCUUGCUUGGCUGAGCUCGGAGUGGGUUUGUCGCAUGAACCCGGGUUUCAUCAGAUUGAUAUUCGGGGAGAUCUGUUUGGAAUGCUUUUAGCACAUCCCUUAUCACCUUUGGUGUCUCUUCAUCAUUUGGAUGCUGUGGAGCCAAUAUUUCCUAACAUGACUAGGACUCGAGCUAUGGGACAUCUUUUUAAAGCUGUAAAUGCGGAUCCUGCUCAGAUUUUGCAGCAAACUGUCUGCUAUGACCACUCCAAGUCAUUGACUGUUUCAGUUGCAUGGGGUUAUGCUGUUCAGUUGUUUGAAGGCAGUCGUCUUCUUCCAGAUCUCCUAUCGUGGCAGAGAACUUUUAGGCCAUGGAAGAGAGGUAAGGAUGUUUUUUCAAGCCACUAUAUGUUCAAGAUGAGAGAGUACCCCAGAGAUUCAUGUGAAAGACCUGUAGUUUUCUUUCUUGAGAGUGUUAUUUCUGAUACGAACGGGCUCUGGACCAACUAUAGAAGGCAUAUUGUGGGAAAUUGCUCAGGCAUCAAGGGAAUACAGAAUUUGGAACAGAUCAGAGUGUUCUCAUGGAAGACAUAUUUUGAUAUUGAACAGCUUAAGGCUCCUCGUCGUCAGUGUUGUGACAUUUCACCAUCUUUCAGUAAAUCAAUGGUUAUUGAUAUCAGACAAUGUGGAGUUGAUGAGCUGAUUUCGAUGCGUAAAUAAAAUUAUCUUUGGGACGACUUUUGUUCAAGCAAAUAUCCAAUUUUACGAGAACUUGGGAGACUGUAUCACAGCUUGUUCUCUUGAAGAUAAAUUCCCUACUGUAAAUCAUAAGGGUCAUUUCACUUUGGGUGCAGGCUGCCUUCAUUUUUCAGGAUGGGUUAAAUAGUUUCUUCCUUCAACCAUAAGGCGGACUUGACUAGCUUGAAGACGGCUAAAGAUCAUGAGGAUGAAAUAUUACAUAUAUGUAAUUGAUUUAAACUUUUGGGUCCUGAACGGAAAGGAACCUGUUCUACCAGCUAUUGGUUUUUGGUCGGAAGGGGAAUUAGGUUGUUCUUUUAUAUUUAUAGCCUAGUAGGUUGAUCAUGCAUUUGAGGAAUUUGAAGGAUAGAGAGACUUGAAGGGACCGUCAAUCCCACAUCACAGGGGGCAAACAACUACUAAUGCAGCAACUAUAAAAGAUUUCUUAUGGGAUGCCAAAUAUAUCAUUGGAGGCAUUCAUUUUCUCUACAAAAUUAAAAUUUGGUAGCAUUUCUCCCACUGCGAGAGUUUAUUGAAGUGUAAUUUAUCUUAAACCCUAGAAUUCCAUAUUGCAGAAUGCUGUAUUCUGUCCCCUGCUGGUUCUUACUUGUUAUUUAUGUAUAUGGAUUUUCAAAAUGUUGCUUUUAUUUCUCCAA